rnacentral:piRNA from 1 species
UACUUAAACGUCUAUGGGCUACAGUAA